GACGAACGCUGGCUGCGUGCUUAACACAUGCAAGUCGAACGCUGAAGCCCCAGCUUGCUGGGGUGGAUGAGUGGCGAACGGGUGAGUAACACGUGAGUAACCUGCCCCUGACUUCGGGAUAAGCCCGGGAAACUGGGUCUAAUACCGGAUACGACUAUCGGACGCAUGUCUGGUGGUGGAAAGUUUUUUCGGUUGGGGAUGGGCUCGCGGCCUAUCAGUUUGUUGGUGAGGUAAUGGCUCACCAAGACGACGACGGGUAGCCGGCCUGAGAGGGCGACCGGCCACACUGGGACUGAGACACGGCCCAGACUCCUACGGGAGGCAUCAGUGGGGAAUAUUGCACAAUGGGGGAAACCCUGAUGCAGCGACGCAGCGUGCGGGAUGACGGCCUUCGGGUUGUAAACCGCUUUCAGCAGGGAAGAAGCCUUCGGGUGACGGUACCUGCAGAAGAAGGACCGGCUAACUACGUG
rnacentral:rRNA from 1 species